UACGAAGGGGGCUAGCGUUGCUCGGAAUCACUGGGCGUAAAGGGUGCGUAGGCGGGUCUUUAAGUCAGGCGUGAAAGCCCUGGGCUCAACCUGGGAAUUGCGCUUGGGACGGGUUGGCUUGAGAUCGGGAGAGGAGAGUGGAAUUCCCAGUGUAGAGGUGAAAUUCGUAGAUAUUGGGAAGAACACCGGUGGCGAAGGCGGCUCUCUGGACCGACACUGACGCUGAGGCGCGAAAGCGUGGGGGAGCAAACAGG
rnacentral:rRNA from 1 species